CGUAAUCAGUGCUCACUGCUCAGGUAGAGUGGGGGAGGUGAUAAGAAGGCAGAGUGAAGGGACAGAGGCACAUGGAGAGCACACCAGCAGCACACUUAAACCAUUUUUCUCCACAAGCAGGAAGCACAUGAUGCUGAAAUUGAAAAUUCAGUGAGAGGUCUUCUCAGCUGCAUCCGGAACUUGAAAAUGCAAAGAUCUUUUCCAGCAAUAUAUGCUGGAAGCCGGGCACGCCAUAAAAGAAAGGCACCUGAACCUCCAAGACCAACAUGUUCGAAAGUAAUAGAACUCCAGUUCUGCCUGCGGCCCGAAAACUCCGAUAGGACACCAAAAGACGAAACCAUGCUCCUGCAAGCGGGCUUAGGAAGGAGAACUGUACAUCUUAAUGACGAUGCUGAUCACACUGAGUGACCGAGGAAAAACUCAAGCAGCUGGUAAAAUUCUGGGUUGGCUGGGAGCUGCCCAUGCAGGACAUGCAAGUGGAGGUGGUGCAGGCAGACCAUCCAACAUCGUUCACCUGCUUCCAUAUCCUGCGCUUGCCUGGUUACUACACCAAUUACCAAGAGUUCCAUGAUCAUCUGGAAGGUUGCAUUGCAACAAAUGAUACUGGGACCAAUCAAUUGGGAUUCCUGCGCUCUCAUCCUUAGAGGAAGUUAUAACACCGAGAGACAUCGAUGGUUGGACUUGAGACAUGGAGGGCGGACUUGAAGGAGGACAUUUCAGAAUAUAAUUGGAAGAAAACUUGUGACGCAUCUCAGAAAAAAACAGCAAACUCUAACUUCGCUCCUUACAGCAACUCCUGUUAAAUUGAAUAAAUACAACAGUAAUA